AUGAGUGCGGCCGGCGCUAGCUUGAGCUUGAGCGGGCAUCAGUCAGAUCGCGCAUCGCGUAGGCGUAGCUUCUUUCCAAGUUGCAAGACCAUGGUGCGAGCGCCCUCGCCUUCUUCUCUCCUCUACGCUCCCCUGCUCCUAGUGGCUGCGCUGGUCGGGCAGUACCAGGCGGGCUCGCUGAGGGUGGCGACGGCGCAGACCGUGGCGGCGCCGGUGCCGGUGCGCGUCGGGGUGAUCAUGGACUGGGCGACCAAGGCGUCGUCGGCGGUGUCGCUGAGGCGGCGGACCGGCAUUCAGAUGGCGGUGGAGGACUACUACGCGGCGCACCCGGGGUCGGCCACCAGGGUGGAGCUCCGCUUCGGCGACUCCAAAGGGGACGUCGUCGGCGCCGCCUCCGCCGCGCUGGACCUGAUAAAAAAUGACCAGGUGCAGGCCAUCAUUGGGCCCAAGACGUCAGCGGAGGCGGACUUCGUGGCCUACCUCGGCAGCCGCGCCCACGUCCCGGUGCUCUGCUACGCCGCCACUUCUCCAUCACUCUCUCCGGCGCAGACGCCCUACUUCGUGCGCACCGCCGCCAACGACUCCUUCCAGGCCACCCCCAUCGCCGCCGUCCUCGCAAGCUUCGGGUGGCGCGCCGUGACCGUCCUGCACGAGGACUCCCCCUACUGCGCCGGCAUCCUCCCGGCGCUCGCCGACGCGCUCCAGAGCGUCGACAGUGCAGCGAUCAUGGUCGUGGACCGCGUGCCCGUUCCGAGCAGCGCGGACGAAGAUGCCCUUGACGCGCUCCUCUACCGCCUCAAGGCGAUGCCAACGCGUGUGUUCGUCGUGCACGCGACGCAUGACCUCGCCGCUCGGCUCUUCCGGCGGGCGAGCAAGGCCGGGAUGAUGUCUGACGGCUAUGCCUGGGUUGCCACAGACGGCGUAGCAAGCUUCCUGGACAGUUUCGACCCCGAGGACCUGGACUUCAUGCAGGGCGUCGUCAGCCUCCGGCCUCACGUGAAGUACACGAAGCAAGUCAAGAACUUCUCUGCGCGGUUCAGGGCGAGGUUCCGGAAGGAGAACCCCUCCUCGGACGAUGACGUCCUCAACGACGCGACCGUGUUGAGGCUCUGGUCGUACGACACAGCAUGGGCGAUCGCCGCGGCGGCCGAGGCGGCCAGCGUCCCCGGCCCAGCAUUUCGAACACCGCAGAAUAGCACGGCACGUACAGACCUGGACCGGCUCGGCGUGUCGGCCACCGGAGAGGCACUUCUCAGGGCGGUGCUCAACACGACUUUCGACGGGAUGGCAGGCAGGUUCAAGCUGGUGGACGGGCAGCUGCAGGUCGCGGCGUACGAGGUCGUGAACAUUAUCGGGAACGGCGCCAUGACGGUGGGGUUCUGGACGCCGGAGUCCGGCAUCUCGCGGGACCUUAAAGUCGGCAGCAGCAAGGCUGCCCGGCAGCUGAAACCCAUCCUCUGGCCGGGCGAGAUGCUGUCCCCGCCAAGAGGCUGGACGGCGUCGCAGAACGGGCGGGUGCUCAAGGUCGCCGUGCCGGUGAAGCGCGGGUUCAAGCAGUUCGUCGACGUCGAGAACUGUAACUCAACAACCAAGAUCACCGGGUACUGCAUCGAAGUGUUCGACGCGGUGAUGAAGAACCUAGCCUACCCGGUAAGGUACCGGUACGAGCCGUACCUCGACAGCUCGGAAUCGUACGAGAAGCUGGUGGACCAGGUGAGCGGCGAGAAGGCGGACAUUGUGGUGGGGGAUGUGACGAUCACAGCGAGCAGGAUGAAAGAGGUGGACUUCACCAUGCCGUUCACGGAGUCCGGGUGGGCGAUGGUGGUGGCGACGAAGCCGGACACGAGCGCCAGCAUGUGGAUCUUCCUGAAGCCGCUGUCCCCCAGCCUCUGGCUCACGAGCCUCGCCUUCUUCUGCUUCACCGGCUUCGUGGUGUGGGUCAUCGAGCACCGCGUCAACCCGGAGUUCCGGGGCACGCCGUCGCAGCAGUUCGGCCUCAUCUUCUACUUCUCCUUCUCAACGCUCGUCUUCGCACACAAGGAGAAGCUGGAGAGCAACCUGUCGAGGCUGGUGGUGACCAUAUGGGUGUUCGUGGUGCUGAUCCUGACCUCGAGCUACACGGCGAGCCUGACGUCGAUGCUGACGGUGCAGCAGCUCCGGCCGACGGUGACCGACGUGAAGGAGCUGCAGAGGCGCGGCCAACACAUCGGGUACCAGGAGGGGAGCUUCAUCGAGCCCUUACUCACAAAGAUGGGCUUCGACGAGAGGAAGAUGAAGAAGUACAGCACGCUGGAGCAGUACGCCGAGGCGCUGUCGAAGGGCUCGGCGGACGGCGGCGUGGACGCGGUGUUCGACGAGAUCCCGUACCUGAAGAUGUUUCUGUCGCAGCAGAGUUCGCAGCACCGCGACGGGUACAUGCAGGUGGGGCCCAUCUACAAGACGGACGGCUUCGGGUUCGUGUUCCCGAGGGGGUCGCCCAUGACGGGGGACGUGUCGCGGGAGAUCCUGAAGCUGGCGGAGGGGGACAAGAUGGCGCAGAUCGAGAAGGCGUGGUUCGGCGAGCCCGGCGCUUGCCAGGACGCGCUGGCCGGCUGCGGCGGCGGCUCGUCGAACCUCAGCUUCUGGAGCUUCGGCGGGCUGUUCCUCAUCACCGGCGUCGUCUCCAGCCUCAUGCUGCUGCUCUACCUCGCCAUCUUCGCGUACCGCGAGCGUGAGGAGCUCCGGGAGGCGGAGGCGAAGGCUGAGGCCGAGGCCGGCUCCGGGAGCGUGUCGGUGCGGAGGCUGCGCGCGUGGCUGCAGCACUUCGACAGGAAGGACCUCAAGUCACCCACCUUCAAGACGUGGAACGACGGGUCCGUCAGGAACGGCAGCGAAUUCACGGGCAGGACGCCAAGAUGGAACGGCGGCGCCGGCGACGCGAGCAUGACGCCGAGGGCCGGUGGGGAGGAACACGCCAACGCCAUGGAAGGGACGAGCCCGCUGAGCGUGUAUAUCAGCUCCGAGAUGAACGCCGGCUCUUCGCCGGAGGGGACGCCCGCGUCGGAGAUCAGUGAGUCGUUCGAGCAGAGGAUCGAGGGGGCAGCAGCCGCCGUGGAGAUGACAAUGCCAACGGCCUCUCAGUAG
rnacentral:rRNA from 1 species